ACGCCCACAAUGCAAUAAAAAAGUUAAUAACUUGACUUCGACAUAGAAUAUUUUACUUCAUUGAGGAAAAUUACAGCUUAUUUACGUAAUAAAGUUUACAAUGCGAUAAUGGCGUUAGGUACGGAUGACAUAAUUCAUAUCCGUCAGCUUCGUUGGUAUUUAACUUCUUUUACUUGAGUUGGUCAUUAAUGAAUCGAAAUGUGGGAUUACGUCCUACACAAACGUAAAAAUUUUAAAAUCUGUUUGGUAGCUUCUACAUUACCUUAAACUUGCAAAUAUACCGUUAUC